UACAGAGGGUGCAAGCGUUGUUCGGAAUUAUUGGGCCUAAAGCAUCCGUAGCCGGUUCUGCAAGUCCUCCGUUAAAUCCAGCUGCUCAACAGAUGGGCCGCGGAGGAUACUACAGAGCUAGGAGGCAGGAGAGGCAAGCGGUACUCAGUGGGUAGGGGUAAAAUCCGUUGAUCCAUUGAAGACCACCAGUGGCGAAGGCGGCUUGCCAGAAUGCGCUCGACGGUGAGGGAUGAAAGCUGGGGGAGCAAACCGG
rnacentral:rRNA from 1 species